GAAAGUUCUAAAGGCGCAGAAGGUUGCAAGGAAGACAAUUCAUUCCAGACAGCGAGUCUCUUUGUGUGAUCUGGCUCUCCAUACACAAAGGUAACUUGGAAGAUGAGAAACAGACCUCCACUCCCUGGGCUGUUAGGGGGAACUUCAUGAUAAUUAUCUAGUGGAAGGCCUUGCAGUUUCUUCUUGACUAUUUCCAGGUUGUUCUUGGUUUCCAUGAGGAAGUAAAUAUCGGGAGAGUUCCUCUUCUGUAUCUCCCUCAACCGCUGGGCUGUUGCAGGGUUCCCCAGCCCGCAACAGUUCCAGCUAAGUACGACUAAGGAGCCCGGGGUGGAGUGACCCGAAAAUCCGCUUUCUUUCGGGUCAUUGCCGGUAUGAGUUGGAUUGGUGGAUUACCAGUUCCUUGGGAGCGAGCUUUUGGGUCGUUUGUCAUUUUCCUCUUCUGAUUUACUCUGGAUGUACCUUCACCUGCACCUCUUCCUCCCUUAGAGUUUCCUCUUGCUCAGCUGGAGUCAUUUGCUCUUGGUGCUCUGGAACUGAUGGAGGAACCUCCUCCCUUCCCACAUUAGUGCUGAUGAUAGUACUGUCACUUGUGGUGGGGUGACUUCACUGUCGUAGAUGUCAAGCUCAUUAUCGUCGUGCUUAUCUUCUCCUUCUGUUGGGCUAAA